UACAGAGGUCUCAAGCGUUGUUCGGAUUCAUUGGGCGUAAAGGGUGUGUAGGUGGCGCGUAAGUCGGGUGUGAAAUUUCGGAGCUUAACUCCGAAACUGCAUUCGAUACUGCGGUGCUUGAGGACUGGAGAGGAGACUGGAAUUUACGGUGUAGCGGUGAAAUGCGUAGAUAUCGUAAGGAAGACCAGUGGCGAAGGCGGGUCUCUGGACA
rnacentral:rRNA from 1 species